rnacentral:misc_RNA from 1 species
AGGUGUCAUUAGUUCAUCAAACAAAGAAACAGGUGUCAAGUUCUAGGGCUAGACCUCAGCUUGAAGGGUUACAACUUGCAAAAGCUCAAUUUUUGCUGUCUCCACUGAAUGGAUCUUCCAAUAAGAGUUUGAUUCACCUGAUGUUCAAUGGUUUAUUGGUUAAUUUUAAAUUGUUUUAUUCUUUAGGAAAGCAACGUAUAAGGCAGGCUCAAGCUUGUAAAUGAAUGGACUUGAAGCAUUAAAAAAAGCCUACUUUAAAUUUGAUUAAUAGUAACAGGUUGCAAAGAUCUGCACUUGGAGAGUCUUUAGUAUCAAUGUAUCAUAUUAGAAAACUAUUUAACUCGAGAUUUUGAGUUUAUAAGGGUCCAAGCGUGUGCUUAAUAUCUCCAAUAAUGAAUCUGUUUUGUGUAUUGCUAAAAUGGUUGUGGCAUUCACAGAAAAAUUCCAUUGAAAUGUCCAGAGUAUUCAGCCUAAACUUCCUUACUAUCAUGAUUUACAGAGUCAAAUUAGUUUUCUUGAUUUGGUUUCUUUCCCAUAUAAAAAACAACUCGGUUCAAUUUCUUUAUUUUUGGAGAGCCAGAUUUUAAGGCCUCUCCUACUAUUUUGUUAACUUCAGCUAAAAUGAUGCUUCUAUGAAUAUUCUUUUAACCUUAUUCAAUGAAAUCUGCUGCAGGAUAUUUGCAGGAUCUAGUUU